rnacentral:rRNA from 1 species
UACGAAGGGGGCUAGCGUUGCUCGGAAUCACUGGGCGUAAAGGGUGCGUAGGCGGGCCUUUAAGGCAGGGGUGAAAUCCUGGAGCUCAACUCCAGAACUGCCUUUGAUACUGAAGAUCUUGAGUUCGGGAGAGGUGAGUGGAUCUGCGAGUGUAGAGGUGAAAUUCGUAGAUAUUCGCAAGAACACCAGUGGCGAAGGCGGCUCACUGGCCCGAUACUGACGCUGAGGCACGAAAGCGUGGGGAGCAAACAGG